rnacentral:rRNA from 1 species
UACGUAGGGGGCUAGCGUUGUCCGGAUUUAUUGGGCGUAAAGAGCGUGUAGGCGGCCAGGUAGGUCUGCUGUGAAAACUCGAGGCUCAACCUCGAGACGUCGGCGGAAACCAUCGUGGCUAGAGUCCGGAAGAGGAGAGUGGAAUUCCUGGAUGUAGCGGUGAAAUGCGCAGAGUAUCAGGAAGAACACCCGUGGCGAAGGCGGCUCUCUGGGACGGUACUGACGCUGAGACGCGAAAGCGUGGGGAGCGAACAG